rnacentral:rRNA from 1 species
UACGGGGGGGGCCAGCGUUGUUCGGAAUUAUUGGGCGUAAAGGGCGCGUAGGCGGCUUGGUAAGUCAGUUGUGAAAUCCCUCGGCUCAACCGAGGAAUUGCGUCUGAGACUGCCAUGCUUGAGUCCCGGAGAGGGUAGCGGAAUUCCCAGUGUAGCGGUGAAAUGCGUAGAUAUUGGGAGGAACACCAGUGGCGAAGGCGGCUACCUGGACGGGCACUGACGCUGAGGCGCGAAAGCGUGGGGAGCAAACAGG